AUUGAACGCUGGCGGAAUGCUUUACACAUGCAAGUCGAACGGCAGCACGGACUUCGGUCUGGUGGCGAGUGGCGAACGGGUGAGUAAUACAUCGGAACGUGCCCAAUCGUGGGGGAUAACGUAGCGAAAGCUACGCUAAUACCGCAUACGAUCUAAGGAUGAAAGCGGGGGAUCGCAAGAACUCGCGCGAGUGGAGCGGCCGAUGGCAGAUAAGGUAGUUGGUAGGGUAAUGGCCUACCAAGCCGACGAUCUGUAGCUGGUCUGAGAGGAUGAUCAGCCACACUGGGACUGAGACACGGCCCAGACUCCUACGGGAGGCAGCAGUGGGGAAUUUUGGACAAUGGACGCAAGCCUGAUCCAGCCAUUCCGCGUGCAGGAUGAAGGCCCUCGGGUUGUAAACUGCUUUUGUACAGAACGAAAAGGCUCUGGUUAAUACCUAGGGCUCAUGACGGUACUGUAAGAAUAAGCACCGGCUAACUACGUGCCAGCCGCCGCCGUAA
rnacentral:rRNA from 1 species